GCUUGUCUCAAAGAUUAAGCCAUGCACGUCUAAGUAUAAGCGAUUAUACUGUGAAACUGCGAAUGGCUCAUUAUAUCAGUUAUAGUUUAUUUGAUGGUCCUUGCUACUUGGAUAACCGUAGUAAUUCUAGAGCUAAUACAUGCACUCGAGCCUCGACCGAGGCCCCGGCAACGGGGUCGCGGAAGAGGUGCUUUUAUUAGAUCAAAACCAGUCGGGGAAACGAUCGCCGGGUCAAACCGGUCGGUCGCGGAACCGUACCAAUUUUGGUGACUCUGGAUAACUUCACGCCG
rnacentral:rRNA from 1 species